UUCGCAGAGCGCCCGUGCUGUUUAGUCCGGGUGGUGGAGUUCUCCCAUCAUUUUAGUCCAACUUCACCAGCAAGAAAUGCAGUAUUUUCUUUUUAUACUUAACAUUUGUUGGGCGAAUUCUCUCUGAUAGCUUGCACUUCUUGUUUUGCCUUGGAUCAACAUCAACGGAAUCUUUUCCUGGGCGAGAGCACAAUUGCAGCCAGGUACGCACAACGCUUCGGCCUUACAGAAAUCCCCAGAAGGUUCGUUUAGCCGCUUGGUGUGCAAAAACCACCACAAUGAUCAUCAGGCUUGGCAGACUGACUCCUGGAUACUUCCGUCUCCUGCAGAGGCAGGUAGCGGGUGAGGUGCAAGCCCCAACGCACGACCGCUCGGUCAACCAAAUUGCCAUGAUGCUGGCCAUCAUGGGCCUUGGCAUGUCCUACUACAGUGCCAAGCAGAUGACGGAGAAGGUGCACCAAGAGCCUGCCCCAUGAAGAUGCUCCUGAGCUCCGGUUUGUUGGUAUCCGGGAAGACAAAGCCAAAUUGGAGUUGAAGAUGGAAUUGGAGUUCUGAAGAUUAUCAUGUGCAAUCUCUGUCACACUUCACCCUUUCUAUAACUGUAACACUGGGAUUGCAGGGAUCACAUACCAUGGGAAGCAAGUUUGGGGCUUCUGUUUAGGGUUAUCUUGCUUUUAGUGUGGCACUCAAUGGGGUCUGGAGAUGGUUGAAUGAUUCUUUGUUUGGGUUUGUUGGCUUCUACAGGUGUGGCCUGAGCCUCGAUAGUUGCCAUGGUACAUGCACCAGAGUUUGUCAAUUCUGCUGUAGAUUCACAGGGAACAAUAAAGUCUCCACCAGUGCAUAGGAUGCACAACUUGGAGAAUUACAAUGAGCCAUAAUGUAAAUUUUAAAGGGAAGGACCUCUGCGUUUGAGAUGUACCAAGCAACUAUUGAAAGCAGGCCCACUGCACAGUGUAGGACGGCGAGAUACUGGUUGUAUUUGAGAUUUACAUUGUGUAGAUGUCAUGCUGUUGAAGAACCCUAGCGACUCUUAGUCCUACAAUACUACACUUGUCGAUUAUCUUCGUGUUAGACACUUAAGAAAUGCUGUCAAGACAUUGCAAUACUAUGCUGAGGAACUAAUGUUAAAGGGACAGUUUCUUGUCAUUAUAACUUGAGAAAAUGUCUUCAUCUUUUAUGUUUGUCCUGACAAAUGCUGAUAACCCAUCAAUACCCAUUAGACGUUAAUGCCUACUUUCUAUGUGUGCAAUUGCAUGAGUUUGACGUUAUUUUUAAGUGAAACCAAUCCAUAACAUUGUGUUUAAUCCUUCUUUUUUAUGGUAAUGUGAAAUUGAUGAUUAAUGUAUUUUGUAUUUAUAAGAAACUAUAUGAUCAAAUAAAGCUGUGAAUAUUUUGAACGAGAUCAAUGUUAUGGACUAAGUCUACAGAAGGUUAAAGAACAUUUAGAAGAAUUUUAUGUUAUGAAAUCUGUUAGAUUCUGAAAAAAUUGCUCUCGGAAAUUGCUGAUAAAAUGUCACUCCUGCUGAGUUAUUGAUGGACAUCUGAGGUCUACACUGAAACCGUAUGAAAGGCUUUUCUGUCCACAGAAGUGCGCUGUCGAACAGGAAGUGGGCAUAGCCUCAGGCAACAAUUUCCUCUGUCAGCACAUGAUAUUUGUCUACUAGCUGCCUGUUGCUCCUGGCUUGAUGCCUGAACUAUUGAACAAUCUGAAAAUGAAAACUUUGUGUACCGUUUAACUUAAGGUAUGUUUUCCCCUCUGAAAAGCUCAAAAUCUACUUAAGGAUGCACAAGUAUGUGACCGCUGAUUUUUGUAGCUACACAAGUUCGUGCAAAAACAUGUGCAAUUCAUAUCGCAAAGCCAGUUGGUGUUGCAUUGCCACUAGGUGUCGCUCAAGUGUGCGCUGGCUUAAAGCCGUUGCUUCUAGCUACGCAAGUUUGAUUCAACACAUUGUGUGCCGAAAUGUGUCGGACCGUACAAUUCAUAAUGCAACGCCAGCACGUGUUGCAUUCUCAACUUUGCUACAAAUAAUGCUAAGGCAGGCAUAAGUGUAAACACCGAUGCUUAUAGCUACACAAGCUCGAUUGGGCACAUCGGUGCAUGCCGAAAUGUGUCAAAUUAAUAUUUGUAAUGCAACAGAAAUACUUUUAACUUCUCAGUGUUGUUGAUUUAAGGAUUACUAUUGCUUCUAAAACCAAUUUUCUCUUUCUAGUCCACUAUCAUGGCAGAGCAACUGUUUAUAAAGGAAUCUUCCUGAGCGUGUUUAUAGCUAGCUAAAUUAAUAAUAAAAUAUAUCACUCCCUUGACAAAUUAGGUGUGCUAUUCUCAUAACUCUAAAUGCACAUAAACUGCAAGGUUAUUCAAUCGUUUGUGUAUUUGCCUAGAUUUUCUGGCCCUAUGUUACGGUUUUAUCUACUUGUUUCCGGCUCUCUAUAUAUGUUUUGCAUGUUAUAAAUGUAACGUUGCAAUUUAGCAGAGAGUAGAUGUGCUAGUAGCAAGUAGAACAGUUCUGCAUAGCGGAACUUAUUAUUGAAUCAGAAGCGUUUUAAAACAAAUCUUGAGGCGUUUGAAGGACAUUGAUAAGUUGGAAAUAUCAUAUGGGAUGCAUGCUUGCAUGCUUGUUUGCUAUAUAGUGCUGUUUGCUAUAGUGUUUUGGAAGAAGUUGGUUGGUUGAUUUAUGAAUGCCAAAGCAUGGUUAUACAUUAUUAGAGGUUGAAAUGCUAUCUCUGAUCCCAGCUUAAUAUACAGACACCACAAAGUAAGCCAGUCGUAAGAUGAUUCCCAUGAAAAGUAUAAGUUCUGUUUCUUUAUUGACCAAUGGCAGAUGGGGGCGUGUUCAGGAAAUCUGCUUAAAAAAACAGUCAUUAUUUUUACUAGAGGUGCAAAAAUUACUCCCUUCAAUCUUUUGGAUAUUGUAGUCUAUCUGUAUUUUGUUUUAGAAAACAGACUGAGAUCAGUUGAUUAGUUGAUCAACUGAUGAGUCUGCACUAUGUAUAUGGUUUGUUUCCAACUCUUUCACCCUUUUUUCCCAUUACCAUGCAAGUUAAGAGGGAGAUGCAGUUGAUGCGCCAAUGCUGUUAGGGCGGGGAAGCGGAUGUGCUCUUAAUCUCUGCACGAAUGCUCGGGGCAGAUGUGAUGCCCUGUGACAGGCCAAGACCACAUUGCAUGACACGUGCUAUUCCGCAUAUCACCUUAAGCUCCCCCCCCUCUCCGCUUUGCUCUAUGAUCACUGGGCAAAUUUGGCAAAAAAAAUAAAUACCACUGGGGCAGUUUUGACAUGCAAGCUUAGGACAUGAACCCAAACACUGUUGUCCCAUUGGCUGUCCGGUGAUGCAUCAUGAUGUUGUUCCAGUUUCGAGCCACAGAGACAAAGAGAUUGGGAUCACAUGAUUGGCGUGACAUAAUGCACAUGAAUGCCUUUUUAUAAAGAAGGGAUGGAACUUAAAAUUAGACUUAAUAUAAGUCAACAGUGGCCUUUACUGUUUGACAGCACAUUGAUGAUGGUCUAUGGAUGUAAAAUUAGAGGGAUCCUCAAUUUUAUUAAAAGUUUUUGUUUUUAUAUAAUGAACAACACAUUGAGAUAUGUAAACGUUGUAAAACUGAAGUCGUCUACAUCAGUGUAUCCUAUUAUGUAAGAAAACUUCAUAUACUGUAUAAAGGACUUUGAAGUUUGACUGAAAUGUGAUUUGUACCUCCAGAAGUUUCCCUGAUGCACUCUGUGGGUCUGUAGUGCUCAUGUAGGAACUUCAUUGAUUUGUUAUUCAUGUAAUGCUGCUACUUAUGCAUAA